rnacentral:rRNA from 1 species
UACGUAGGGUGCAAGCGUUAUCCGGAAUUAUUGGGCGUAAAGAGCUCGUAGGCGGUUUGUCACGUCUGCUGUGAAAACUGGAGGCUCAACCUCCAGCCUGCAGUGGGUACGGGCGAGACUAGAGUGCGGUAGGGGAGAUUGGAAUUCCUGGUGUAGCGGUGGAAUGCGCAGAUAUCGAGGAGGAACACCGAUGGCGAAGGCAGAGUCUCGGGCCGUAACCUGACGCUGAGGAGCCGAAAGCAUGGGGAGCGAACAGGG